rnacentral:lncRNA from 1 species
CCUUCUUCUUUCUUUUUCUUUCUUUUGCUUCAAGAAAAGAAACCAAAGUGUUGGUGGGUGAGAAAGAAAAUAUUUCCCUCCUGCCUCGUGAAUUUCUUCCUUCUUCUUCCUCUGUUUCAAAAGCUAGUGUUGGUGGUUUUUUCAAAACCACACGAAAACAAAUCCUCACUUUCCCUCUAGAUCUUAGCUCCCUUGCGAGAAGUGAUGGAAGGGAAAGUUACUCCUUGCCACGCUACGGUGCUAGUGAGCUAGUUUAUGAAGCGACAACGCGAGCGGAAAUUUUACUGCAAUUAAUCAUGGUGCCGUAAUCGGCUGUUAAAGCUACCAUUAAUGUAAGGGCUCCUUCCAAACUUUAGUUUGCAUUUAGGACCUUAUAUGUGAAUUUGUGGAGAAUAAGUUUUAUGUGUUUGAGGUAUAUUUGUGGAAAAAAUGAAUUUAAUUCGAUUUAUGAGUGGAUUAGUGGAAUUUAAAUUUGGUAUAUUUGAGGUGUGGUUUGUGGUGAU